rnacentral:misc_RNA from 1 species
GUGAGUCAUCGAAUCUUUGAACGCAAAUUGCACUCUCUGGUAUUCCGGGGAGUAUGCCUGUUUGAGGGUCGCUUAAUAAACAUCGAUUUCAUCGCUUUUUUUUUAAAAGUGAUUAUCGGAUUUGAGCCGUCUUUUUUUUUAUAUAUCAUAUAUAUUUAAAAAGUGGCUUAAAAUUGAUUUUUCUGGUAUGAUCGAAGCGUAUUUUAUGAUCAAUUUUUGGUUAAAGAAACGCACGCGUACCAUCAUUCAUAUGAUGUAAUACGUUUGACUAUUGGAUUUAGUUCAUUCGUAUACGAUAUU